rnacentral:lncRNA from 1 species
GCGCGAACUUUAGGAUUAUGCGCGUGACAAACAAGAUCUUGAAUCGACUAUGCUAAUCAGAUAGAAACGGAUAGUCGAUGUCGUAAUACGUCGUUAGUAAAGCCAAUUAUAGCGCGAAGACUGAUUCGCAGCAGGUAUUCCUUUUUGGUUCAUAGGCCUACCUCGAUAUAGUCCCGUCUCCCAGAAAAAAUCGAUAUCUAGUAAAAAAGUAACAUGGAAAGAACGAGAUCGAGGACCCAACGAGAUAGACAACGUUAUAGGCGGAGACCUUGAUAGUCAUUGUUCGAAAGCGCUAUUUGUAUUUAUUCGAAGCCUUUGUUCGGACGGCUCGGAAAGCGGGGCUGUAGAUGAGAGAAAGCGAGAGAGAAAAAGAAAGAGAAAGAGCAAGUAAGAAGGAGAGGGAAGAAUUACUUUGCUAGCUAAAGGGGUGAGGUCCAUUAGUUGUUAGGAAACUGUCACGGAGCUUCGAUCACCAAAAAAAAAGAAACGCGUGCUUGUCGAAAUCGCAGAGAACAUUUAAUACAACAAGAAUGAAAUUAAAUAGUCGAGUGCUUAUAGAAACAAAAAACAAUACUGCAUAUCUUUAAUUCUAAAUAUUAUUUUUUCUUUUUAUUUUAUUAAUGUUCACAAUGUGAAAGAAUGAUCGAUCAGCUUGAAGAAACACGUUUGACCAUACAUAAAAAUCCAAUUCCAGAAAGGUGUUCGCGUGCGAUUUGGCCCCACCCCGACGGACCGACGAUCGUGUACGCGCGCGUGUGUGAAUGCACCUCGUGCAUUGGAUGCAACUGCAAGUGGUCAGUAGCUCGCAAAACGACUGACCGCUCGGUACAUUGGUUCCGCACAUCCCGUCGAUCUUCCAACAUGAAAUUCGACUGACACGCUUCCCGAAUUUCUGAUUACUUCUGAUUUCCUACCGAAACAAAAAAUCCUCGAAGUAACGCAUAACUGAAAGUAAUUUACUCGGGUACUCUAUUAAAAUACGAGUGAGCGAAAAGUGAUUUUAUUUCGGUGUUUCAAAAAUUAAGUGAACCCGAUAAUGUUCUGCGAUCAUUUAAUUAAAAUCGGCAAGAACAUGUGAAAUUAAAUUGGAACGUUGUGAAUUUCGAAUAUUUUACAAAUACUGUAAUUUCGUAUAGCGUACGAAUAUAUUAUAAAGCUUAAUAAUUUGUAGCAAAGAAACCUGUGUGUGAUCAUUUUAAUAUGAUAAUGUGAUAAAGUGAAUUUUAAUAAAAUACGAAUAAAAAAACUAUUGCAAAAUAAAUUAACGUUCAUUCUCGUAAAACUUUAACAAAAUUCUUUCCAUCGAUCUCGACUACUACUUUCUUUAGAUUUCACAUUCUUCGUCGCCCUGCCCCUCCCGAAGAAAAAAGUUGUUAACUAAAGAAAUAAGAAAAAAAUAAUAAAUGAAUAAAAUAAAAUCCAUAAGAAAUAAGUUUUCGCUCUUGAUGCACGAUGAAAAUAGUACGUUGAUAAGAAUGAAGAUGAAAGAACACAAGGGGAAGGAAAGUGAUGAAAAGGAAAAUGGUCGGUGCACGCGUGACAUUGCCGGCGACGGAGAGGAUGGUUUAUCUCGAAUAUACAAUCCUCGCACCCCUACCAACGCGUGUUCGAGGGUGGUAGGAGGGAUAGCUUCGGGUGGAUGGAAAAAGAAGGGGAAGAGAAAAAGAGAAAGAAAGGAAAGGAGGGAGAAAUAGAGAGGUAGAAAGAAAAAGAUAGAGUAGAGGUCGACGAGAAGCCCUCGGUAACCAACGCCCACCGCCAACCACCCCCUACCCUUUAGCUUUUGCGACGUCUAUGGAGGGGUGCUCAACUCAGAAGAGG